rnacentral:rRNA from 1 species
AUUGAACGCUGGCGGCAGGCCUAACACAUGCAAGUCGAACGGUAACAGGAAGCAGCUUGCUGCUUUGCUGACGAGUGGCGGACGGGUGAGUAAUGUCUGGGAAACUGCCCGAUGGAGGGGGAUAACUACUGGAAACGGUAGCUAAUACCGCAUAACGUCGCAAGACCAAAGAGGGGGACCUUAGGGCCUCUUGCCAUCGGAUGUGCCCAGAUGGGAUUAGCUAGUAGGUGGGGUAACGGCUCACCUAGGCGACGAUCCCUAGCUGGUCUGAGAGGAUGACCAGCCACACGGGAACUGGGACCCGGUCCAGACUCCUACGGGGGGCAGCGGGGGGGAAUAUUGCACAAUGGGCGCAAGCCUGAUGCAGCCAUGCCGCGGGUAUGAAGAAGGCCUGCGGGUUGUAAAGUCCUUUCAGGGGGGAGGAAGGGGGUAAAGUUAAUACCUUUGCUCAUUGACGUUACCCGAAGAAGAAGCACCGGCUAACCCC